CCUACGGGUGGCAGCAGUGAGGAAUAUUGGUCAAUGGGCGCUAGCCUGAACCAGCCAAGUAGCGUGAAGGAUGACUGCCCUAUGGGUUGUAAACUUCUUUUAUAUGGGAAUAAAGUGCAGUAUGUAUACUGCUUUGCAUGUACCUUAUGAAUAAGGAUCGGCUAACUCCGUGCCAGCAGCCGCGGUAAUACGGAGGAUCCGAGCGUUAUCCGGAUUUAUUGGGUUUAAAGGGAGCGUAGGCGGGUUGUUAAGUCAGUUGUGAAAGUUUGCGGCUCAACCGUAAAAUUGCAGUUGAUACUGGCAUCCUUGAGUACAGUAGAGGUAGGCGGAAUUCGUGGUGUAGCGGUGAAAUGCUUAGAUAUCACGAAGAACUCCGAUUGCGAAGGCAGCUUGCUGCAGCGGAACUGACGCUGAUGCUCGAAAGCGCGGGUAUCGAACAGGAUUAGAUACGCUUGUAGUC
rnacentral:rRNA from 1 species